AGGGCCAAAAAUCAACAGUACAACGAUUGAAAUUGCUUUUGAGAGCCACAUUUUUUAGACUUAAACUUCUUCUAACGUCACUUCUUCAAAAUAGACUCGCCCAGGCCGUAGUAUAUUGUGGAAGAGCCACACUCAAUGGGCCAAAGAGCAGCAUCUGGCUCUCGAGCCGCAAUUUGCGGACCACGAAACUUUAGAGCCAAGCACAAUGGCUUAUCCAGAACCCAGAAGAGC